rnacentral:rRNA from 1 species
UGGCGCACGGGUGAGUAAGGUAUAGUUAAUCUGCCCUACACAAGAGGACAACAGUUGGAAACGACUGCUAAUACUCUAUACUCCUGCUUAACACAAGUUGAGUAGGGAAAGUUUUUCGGUGUAGGAUGAGACUAUAUAGUAUCAGCUAGUUGGUAAGGUAAUGGCUUACCAAGGCUAUGACGCUUAACUGGUCUGAGAGGAUGAUCAGUCACACUGGAACUGAGACACGGUCCAGACUCCUACGGGAGGCAGCAGUAGGGAAUAUUGCGCAAUGGGGGAAACCCUGACGCAGCAACGCCGCGUGGAGGAUGACACUUUUCGGAGCGUAAACUCCUUUUCUUAGGGAAGAAUUCUGACGGUACCUAAGGAAUAAGCACCGGCUAACUCCGUGCCAGCAGCCGCGGUAAUACGGAGGGUGCAAGCGUUACUCGGAAUCACUGGGCGUAAAGGGCGCGUAGGCGGAUUAUCAAGUCUCUUGUGAAAUCUAAUGGCUUAACCAUUAAACUGCUUGGGAAACUGAUAGUCUAGAGUGAGGGAGAGGCAGAUGGAAUUGGUGGUGUAGGGGUAAAAUCCGUAGAUAUCACCAAGAAUACCCAUUGCGAAGGCGAUCUGCUGGAACUCAACUGACGCUAAGGCGCGAAAGCGUGGGGAGCAAACAGGAUUAGAUACCCUGGUAGUCCACGCCCUAAACGAUGUACACUAGUUGUUGGGGUGCUAGUCAUCUCAGUAAUGCAGCUAACGCAUUAAGUGUACCGCCUGGGGAGUACGGUCGCAAGAUUAAAACUCAAAGGAAUAGACGGGGACCCGCACAAGCGGUGGAGCAUGUGGUUUAAUUCGAAGAUACGCGAAGAACCUUACCUGGGCUUGAUAUCCUAAGAACCUUUUAGAGAUAAGAGGGUGCUAGCUUGCUAGAACUUAGAGACAGGUGCUGCACGGCUGUCGUCAGCUCGUGUCGUGAGAUGUUGGGUUAAGUCCCGCAACGAGCGCAACCCACGUAUUUAGUUGCUAACGGUUCGGCCGAGCACUCUAAAUAGACUGCCUUCGUAAGGAGGAGGAAGGUGUGGACGACGUCAAGUCAUCAUGGCCCUUAUGCCCAGGGCGACACACGUGCUACAAUGGCAUAUACAAUGAGACGCAAUACCGCGAGGUGGAGCAAAUCUAUAAAAUAUGUCCCAGUUCGGAUUGUUCUCUGCAACUCGAGAGCAUGAAGCCGGAAUCGCU